rnacentral:rRNA from 1 species
UACAGAGGGUGCGAGCGUUAAUCGGAAUUACUGGGCGUAAAGCGUGCGUAGACGGUUACAUAGUCGGGUGUGAAAGCCCCGGGCUCAACCUGGGAAUUGCAUUCGAGACUGCGUAGCUAGGGUGCGGAAGAGGGAAGCGGAAUUUCCGGUGUAGCGGUGAAAUGCGUAGAUAUCGGAAGGAACACCAGUGGCGAAAAGCGGCUUCCUGUCCGCACCGACGUAGGCACAAAGCGUGGGGAGCAAACGG